AUAAAUGAGUUCUUUUUGAUUCUGCAUCUUCACGUCACUCAAUAGGAGAAUUGACCUAUUUCAUACUUCUUCAAAUAGCAAAGAUUCAGCUUAUAAGGAAUGAUUAAAACUAUUUAUAUUUCUAAAUUUAGUAAAUUUAGAAAGUUUCCUUUUGAUCAUCAUUAUUUGAAGAAAAUUUGAUAGAUAAAGAUCACUUUUGAUCAUCUUAGGAAAGAAAAAAGAUAAGUCUUUCUUUUUUAAUUGAAUCAUCAACGAUUUCAAUGAUCUAAAAUAGAUAAAUAC
rnacentral:lncRNA from 1 species